rnacentral:lncRNA from 1 species
CCACAGUCAGCCUUGCGGUCAGCCUUCUCUAAAGGCAGCUCCACACACGUAGCUCUCCCUGCCCCACGUUGUCCACAGCGCUCCCUGCCCCCAGAUCCCAGUGUCCCCGCCACAGCUCCGCACCGCUCCUUGAUCUGGGCCUGCAUCAGCAUCCCUGGGUUAUGUGGCUACACGUGCUGCAAAGGAGCCUGGGAAGUGUGUCUUUUCCAUCUGUGCGAAAUUCUAUAGUUUUUCUCGCCCUUAAGGGAGGUGGGGAGAAGGAUCUGGGCAGGGAAGGCCCGGCCCAUCCCUGGCCACCUAUGACACUGUAAGCCUCUUAGAGAGCGGCCAUGCCUGCCUCGCUCUGCAAGCAGACCUGCAGGGUGCCUGGCAUGAGGACAUUCAGAUGUGGGAAGGAGGGUGGAGGGAGAGACGACCUGGAAAGGAAUGAGUGUGAGCUCAGUCGAUGGUCAGGGACUGUGCCCAACCAGGGCCUGGCUGUGCCGUGGGGAGCUCUCGGAGCUCUGAGCAUCCAAAUGCUGGAGUCCUGACCCUGCCUUUUGUGGGAUAGAAAAUGGGAAUUAACACCGCUUCUGGGCAGCUCAAUUAGGAAAUCUUAGAUGCUCUACCUGGUAGUGGAAUGAUUAGAUUACUCAAGCCUACAAUUUUAUCUCUUGCACAAUUUGCAUCCAAUUAUGUUAUUCUGUCUCUAAUCUAGUGCGAAUCUAAUCUCAUCUCCAUCAGUUGGCCCUGCUUCAUAACGCACGUUUCCUGACAGCAGUUAGAGGAGAGACUGAGUGAGGCUGUGGUGGCCUCUCCCAGCUCCUUUGGGCUGGAUGGGGAAGGACCUAAGCCGUCAGUGUCCUGGAGAUCCAGCGUCUUAAUUCAUUCAGGGUAGCCCGUCCCGCCCUCCAGACUGCUGGGCACACCAGGGGCUUUGCUCCUGCUCUGUCCCAGGACUCGGGGCCCCUCCAGGGCAGCUGCCGUGACGUUGUGGAUAUGAGGCAUUCAGCCACCUCCCAGAAUGCGCCAUGCUCUUGCCCAGCCUGGACUCCCCACUCUCUGCUGCUGGCGCCAGGACAGUCUCACCCACCUCGGCCUCUAGCUCCUCCUCCUCAAGCCUCAGGUCUGAACUUGGCCAUGGCCUCUGCCCAGAAGCCUUCUGCACCUCUGUCAGAUCCCCGUUUACCCCCAGCAGGACCCUCCCUUAGGGCACUUGGUACAAUUUCACAUCCGUGACAGUGACAGUCACCGCCCCCAUGCUGUGAGCCCCACGGGAGUCCGAGCUGACGUCAUUCUUCCCCUACUAUGUGCCUCAUCCACUUUGAGCUCCUGUAUUAGUCCAUUCUCAUGCUGCUAAUAAAGACAUAUCCAUGACUGG